AAUCUGAGGAAGAGUGGGUUCUAGCUGAGCGGAGCUGGCAGGCAGAUGGGGCAAGGGCAGGGGUGGUGAAUACCCAAAUUAUACUGAAACUCAGUUCUCAAGCUAUUCCCUAGAAGACUCAAACAUUUUUUCUUUCACUAGUUGCAAAGUAUGCUCUCCUAGAGUCAGAGUGUGUUUAAAGCCUGUCCAUGUGAGUUAUAAUCUUAAUUACAGAAUUUGAUCUCAUAUUAUGUUAACCACUGAAAUAUGGGUGAGGAAGAGUUGCUGGUUCUAUGGAAACUAUGGAAAACCUUCAGUAAAGGUGAGCUGAUAAAAACAUGAUAUUAAAUUAGGUAUACUCCCAAUUUUUUUUUUUUUUUAAGUAGGCUUCACGCCCAGCAGGGAGCCCAAUGUAGGGCUUGAACUCACAACCCUGACAUGAAGACCUGAGCCGAGAUCCAAAGUCAGUUGCUUAACUGACUGAGCCACCAUGUGCCCCUAGGCCAGUCAAUUUUUAAAACUUGGGAAACUAUAAUAACAUCUAGAAAAAUUUUGGGACUCCAGCAACUUCACAAGUGUCUUCAUGUCACUGCUCAACUUUACAGAAGCCGAAAGUGGAAAUGGCGGACAAUGCAUUAAUGCAGAAAAGGCAGUAAGGAACUUCUAUCAGUUGACUGCAAAUCAAGGUCAAGCCCUUGUCCUCAGGCUAAAAGGCUCUGUAUGUAUAUGGGCAUAUGUAUACACCAACACAUAAUUCUUUACUGAGCUAUUUAAGGAAAGUUCCUCAUGUUGUGUUUAUAUGAUUCUUUUCAUGACUGAAGUUAUUCAUUCUCAGCUGGACUACUGAAUAGGUAAUGUUGUGUCCUUUGGGUAUCAUGUCUGGAGGCACAUGAUGUCUGUCUCUCAUUGGUGAUGUUAACUUUGAUCACCUGGUCAAAAUGUUGCCCAAUUUGUCUACUAAAUAAUUGCUAGUGUUUUUUCUCCCCUCCCUUGCAACUAAUAAGUAGUCUCUGUAGGAGAAUCUCUAAGACUGUGCAAAUAUUCUACAUCUCAUCGAAUUUGCCCCACUGAUGACUUUACCUGAUCCAACAUUUACCAGAAUGUUUGCAAAAUGAUGAUUUUUCCCUCUAAUUUUUCUCCUUCUACAUUUAUCAGUUGGCUCUCAGCAUUCUAUUGUAAGUGCAAGUCCUCAUUUCUCCCUCACUUAUUUAUCUACUUAUUAUCAGUGUGGAUUAUAAAUUCCUAUUUUUCCAAUAGUUUACUUUGUACUUCAGUGCUAAAAUUGCCUCAGAUUUGGACAGUUGGCAUCCCUUCCGUGUCCUCAAGACCUUAAAAAGAUAUUCUAGACUCAUCUUGUACCUACCCUGUGACAGCCCUGGAGUCACCCAUUUUCUGAGGAGCCCUGGUAGGGAAUGAUAUUAGCAACUAAGACCAGGACACAAAGUUGCUUCUUGCUGUUGGAGUGUCUUUGCUUCUUAGUCUCUUCAGUAGACAGGGCUAGGAAAUAUACUCAGGUAUAUAUUCACAUAUGCAUACACUUAUAUACAUAUACAUGUGCACAUAAGCAUGCGUAUACAUAUAAUAUGUGUGUACUUCUAAAUGCAAUGGAAAUUACAGAGUAGAUGCCAAGAAAAUGGAAGUUUAUAAGAUAAGCUCAUGAUAUUUCCUCAGAAUUCAGAAUAAAGGAAUGAAUGAUGCUGAAGAUAAAAGAAAUGGAGAAGAGAUCCAGAAAAUCCAAUAUACAAGUAUGAAUUCUGGAAGGAGACCAGAGCAAAUCUAAGAGCCAUUAUCAAAUAACUGAUAAACAGAUUACCUGCCCAGGAAAAAAAAAUCAGAUUGAUAACAGAUUGGCCCACAAUGCUAAAUAUCAGAAGACAAUGAUGCAAUAUCCUAGGUUUGGAGAAAAAAAUGUCUGUGGCUUCAGAAUUCAAUAUCUAGCCAAUCUGUGAUAUAAGGACAUUAUAAAGUCAUCCUAGACAUAAAGAACUUAGAAAUUUUAACACCUCUAACUCCCUUCUUAGAAAAAAUAAAUACUCAAAGAAAUAUUGCUGCCAUUUAAGUAAAGAAUGAAAAUAAUGAAAAGAUGGGGUAUUUCUAAAAAUGGUAGUGCAACAACAUGGAUGGACCUAGAGGGCAUUAUGCUAGAUGAAAUGAGUCAGAGAGAGAAAGACAAAUACCA